rnacentral:rRNA from 1 species
ACGUUAGCGGCGGACGGGUGAGUAACACGUGGGUAACCUACCUAUAAGACUGGGAUAACUUCGGGAAACCGGAGCUAAUACCGGAUAAUAUUUCGAACCGCAUGGUUCGAUAGUGAAAGAUGGUUUUGCUAUCACUUAUAGAUGGACCUGCGCCGUAUUAGCUAGUUGGUAAGGUAACGGCUUACCAAGGCGACGAUACGUAGCCGACCUGAGAGGGUGAUCGGCCACACUUGAACUGAGACACGUUCCAGACUCCUACGGGAGGCAGCAGCC